CAGUUGUUGAAAACAAGGUGGAGGGUAGUGGCUUGGUUUGUUCCCCUUCCUACCACCCAAUUCCCAAAGUUUCAAGUUAGGAAAGGGAAGUGCUUUUGCUGAGAGCAACGUUUUCUCCUGUGAGUUUCAUAUGAGUUAGGCAUUUCGCUGCCCUGCUCCCAUGGGAAUCUUCAGAUAAAUAGACAUGCCUUUUCUGCAGUGGUAUUCUGAUGUACAGGGGCUGGGGCUGGAGGAAGGACAAACCUCCUGCCUUUAUUUCUGCUGGCAGUGUAAAGUGGGUCGAAGCUUUCUGCAGCCGCUAUUCUAUUUAUAUCCUUUGGGUCCAGUGCUAUUUUUGUUGGCUGUGCCCCUGGAGGUGGAGGUGUGGAAGUGCCUUUCUGCUCAUCUCCACAGGCGCGUGUAGAAUUUUCCUCCGACCCAGGCACCUCCUCGGACGCUGCGGCUUUUCAGGGGUGGUAGGUGGAUGUCAGUGUGGCCAUUCCCCGCCUGUCCCUAACUUUUUAAUCCUUCCUUUUGUUUGGGCCUUGCGCUCCGUCCAUGGAACCUCUGGGUAGCCACUGGGAGGUGUGAAUGGCUCGGGAUGGAAACCACAGCUUGUAGGUGCGCCCUCUGCCAGGCUUUUCUGGCACCGGAGGAAGCCCGGCCUCCGCCUGCUCCCCAGCGAAAGGGAUAUUACCGGCUGCUUCGUUAGGAAACAGACUCGCAGAGAUACAGGAAAGUGUGUAAGGUGGUGGGAAGCAACGGGAGUAAGAUUCCUGGCAGCGCGGGUUCUGGAGUUACUUCUGUCUUUGCAAAAAUAGCACCGCUCCAGGCAGCCUUCCUGAUAGGUGGAAUAGUUUCCCCCUGAGGAGAAACUGGUGGAAAUCCCCUCUCCUGAGACAUUUUUAACUCUGCCAGAAAAUGUACAAUGGGAGUGACUGAUUUAACUAGUGAGCUGACUGGGAUGAGCUAAUGGGUUUUUCCAUCUCUGGUGUCUAGUUCCAGGGAUUUCCAUGAAUUGCUGUCAGGACAGAAGAAGGCAAGAGAUUGCAACUGUGGGAUCUGCUGUUUCAGCUCCACUGACACGUCAUUCUCUCAGGACACCCAGUGACCUGGUUAAUCUAGUUCUUUGCUUCUGACUUCUCCUCGUAAAUGAUUUAUCAACUGGCAUGGAUCCCUGUUUGCUUAAGGAGGCGUGUGACGACCUCUAGCAGACCAGCUGCACAAAGCUACAGCCUGCAUUUGGCACCCAGCUGCUGGUCCCAGCUCGUGACCCUUGGCACAGGGAGCACAAGGACAGGGCUCUAGCAGAGCCCGGUGGCAAGGGCUGAGGCAGGGAACUGUGGGUAGUGUUUACAUGGCUCUGCGGAGAGCCCUGGUGACUAAGCCAUCAGCUUGUCAGCAAGGGUGCUUGCAGGCCUGCCUCAGCCUGUCCUGACCCCCACAACACAGAGUCCUGACUGGGCAGCCGGAUGCAGUGUUCACUGUAUACAGACUGGGGGGUACAGGUCAUGGGAAGCAUCAGCUGUGCCAGAGCCAGCCUUGGGGUCCAUGUGCUCCAGAAGAAAAAAUAACAUGAACAUCCACCACCUUAUCCAUCCUCACAAAGUAGCAUCAGUGGCAAUGACACUGGUGUCAGCACCAGGUGCAGCUCUGGGGGUCUUCAUCAUGUGCACACGUAGGUCAAUAUAUGUGUCACCACACACAAAACACUGCAACUAAAAAGACGAUGGUGCAGAUCUAAACUCAAGCACUCACGCCAGGGAGGUGAGGGAUGAUCCUACAAGCCUUUGUAUGUGAGGCUAAAGGAGCGUGGAGAGAGAUCAGAUAUCACCAACUGGGCAUCCUCCUAAAAAACUGUCUAUGGGCAACUCCCUGCCUUCCCUCCAGGCCAGUUAUUGCUGCUUCCUGCUCUGAUUGUUUCAAAUCCAGUUAUCUUGAGUUAUGCCUGUUCUGGCAAAUACAGUUCAGCAGAGGGGAGGUCCCGUUCAUGUCGAUGUUGUAUGCAUGCCACAGAUCACAGAGAUUAGCAUGGGAGGAAUAACCCAGAUGAUCUGCUUGAGGCAGGUAUUGGGAAGCUUACAACAGAGCUGUGUAACCAUUAGAAAUAUAAAACUGUUUUAACAGAUGAAGAGCCACGCUGAAUUUCCAGACGGCUGGAGGCUGUUUCACAGGGGGAAUACACAGCAGAAAAGGAAGCUGAGGAAGCUCACUCCAGCACUGGCCCAGACAGCACUGUUUCCAGAAGCAUGGUGUCACACCACCCAAGGGCCGCAUCAUCAGGCAGGGCUGGCUUAGACUGCGGCAAGGAACCUGCAGCCACAUGUAGGCAGAGGCAUGGGGUGUGUUUUUCUCUCACGUAAGGGUGGAUCUGGAGCAGCUUUCAGUUUCUUGGGACCUGAGAGGUGGUUUUGUUCAUAUCACAAGAGGACUGAAGGUGCAACUUCUCUUUCCUUUUCUGGGGGCACACCACAACCUUCCUUUCCUUGUGCCUCAAUGGGAACUCUGUGUUCACGCAUCACAAGCCCCCACUCUACACAUUGUACAGCACACCAACAUCACAGAACAACCACCAGCUGGUGGUAUGUGUGAGUGGUAAUUCCACCUGGCCAGGAACAGCUACUAUAACCCACCUCUGAGAAGACCAUGAUCUGACAACUGCCCAUAACAUGAGAAGUGCGUUUCCCAGCCCGCAGCUUUGCUGGCCCUGAGCAACAACCAGCUCAGCUCUGCUCCACUUGAAGGCUCACCACUCGUACUGGGCACUGGCAUAACAGAAUUACAGAGUGAGGGAAUGUUCUUCCUAUCUUAUUGUCAUUUCCCCAAAUAUCAAUUAAAAAAAAUAUCACAUUUCUGUACCCUGUGGAUGUCA